CAGAAAUGUUAGUGGUGGUUAUUUUGUUCUACACAGCACCAAGAAUGAGGGAACACUGCAUGAUUUUGGGUUGGGGGGAGGGAGCGUAUUUAAAUGCUGACCGCAGAGAACUUCACUGCAGGAUUGAGCAGGUUCUGGCUGGGGAUUUUUGUUUGCAAAGUACUGGUCACUCCAUGUCACUGGAUCAGUAUUUAGGAGGGUCUACGGGUAAGUACAGUACUAACUGUUUGAAACUGAAAAGGAUAAAUGAUUGGCCAGAAAAAAGGACACAUCACCUAUUCUCCAUGAUGUGAGGUAACUCUUUGUAAGUCUUAACAGCAGUUCUUGAUUCCAAAGAGAAAAUAAGUU
rnacentral:lncRNA from 1 species